AAAAAAUAAAGUCUGAUACUGUUUCCACUGUUUCCCCAUCUAUUUCCCAUGAAGUGAUGGGACCGGAUGCCAUGAUCUUCAUUUUCUGAAUGUUGAGCUUUAAGCCAACAUUUUCACUCUCCUCUUUCACUUUCAUCAAGAGGCUCUUUAGUUCUUUUUUGCUUUCUGCCAUAAGGGUGGUGUCAUCUGCACAUCUGAGGUUAUUGAUAUCUCUCCCGGCAGUCUUGAUUCCAGCUUGUGCUUCUUCCAGCUCAGCAUUUCUCAUGAUGUACUCUGCAUAUAAGUUAAAUAAGCAGGGUGACAAUAUACAGCCUUGAUGUAUUCCUUUUCCUUUUUGGAACCAGUCUGUAGUUCCAUGUCCAGUUCUAACUGUUGCUUCCUGACCUGCAUAUAGGUUUCUCAAGAGGCAGGUCAGGUGGUCUGCUAUUCCCAUCUCUUUCAGAAUUUUCCACAGUUUAUUGUGAUCCACACAGUCAAAGGCUUUGGCAUAGUCAAUAAAGCAGAAAUAGAUGUUUUUCUGGAACUCUCUUGCUGUUUCCAUGAUCCAGCGGAUGUUGGCAAUUUGAUCUCUGGUUCCUCUGCCUUUUCUAAAACCAGCUUGAACAUCAGGAAUUUCACAGUUCAUGUAUUGCUGAAGCCUGGCUUGGAGAAUUUUGAGCAUUACUUUACUAGCGUGUGAGAUGAGUGCAAUUGUGCGGUAGUUUGAGCAUUCUUUGGCAUUGCCUUUCUUUGGAACUGGAAUGAAAACUAAGUUUUUCCAGUCCUGUGGCUACUGCUGAGUUUUCCAAAUUUGCUGGCAUAUUGAGUGCAGCACUUUCACAGCAUCAUCUUUCAGGAUUUGAAAUAGCUCAAGUGGAAUGCCAUCACCUCCACUACCUUUGUUCAUAGUGAUGCUUUCUAAGGCCCACUUGACUUCACAUUCCAGGAUGUCAGGCUCUAGAUGAGUGAUCACACCAUCGUGAUUAUCCAGGUCAUGAUGAUCUUUUUUGUACAGUUCUUCUGUGUGUUCUUGCCACCUCUUAAUAUCUUCUGCUUCUGUUAGGUCCAUACCAUUUCUGUCCUUUAUCAAGCCCAUCUUUGCAUGAAAUUUUCCCUUGGUAUAUCUCAUUUUCUAGAAGACAUCUCUAGUCUUUCCCAUUCUGUUGUUUUCCUCUAUUUCUUUGCAUUGAUCACUGAAGAAGCCUUCUUAUCUCUUCUUGCUAUUCUUUGGAACUCUGCAUUCAGAUGCUUAUAUCUUGCCUUUUCUCCUUUGUUUUUCUCCUCUCUUCUUAUCACAGCUAUUUUUCAGGCUUCCCCAGACAGUCAUUUUGCUUUUUUGCAUUUCUUUUCCAUGGGGAUGGUCUUGAUCCCUGUCUCCUGUACAAUGUCACGAACCUCCGUCCAUAGUUCAUCAGGCACUCUAUCUAUCAGAUCUAGGCCCUUCAAUCUAUUUCUCACUUCCACUGUAUAAUCAUAGGGGAUUUUAUUUAGGUCACACCUCAAUGGUCUACCGGUUUUCCUACUUUCUUCAAUUUGAGUCUGAAUUUGGUAAUAAGGAGUUCAUGAUCUGAGCCACAGUCAGCUCCCUGGUCUUGUUUUUGUUGACUGUAUAGAGCUUCUCCAUCUUUGGCUGCAAAGAAUAUAAUCAAUAUGAUUUCAGUGUUGACCAUCUGGUGAUGUCCAUGUGUAGAUUCUUCUCUUGUGUUGUUGGAAGAGGGUGUUUGCUAUGACUAGUGCAUUUUCUUGACAAAACUCUAUUAGUCUUUGCCCUGAUUCAUUCUGCAUUCCAAGGCCAAAUUUGCCUGUUACUCCAGGUGUUUCUUGAUUUCCUACUUUUGCAUUCUAGUCCCCUAUAAUGAAAAGGACAUCUUUUUGGAUGUUAGUUCUAAAAGGUCUUGUAGACCUUCAUAGGACCGUUCAACUUCAGCUUCUUCAGCAUUACUGGUUGGGACAUAGAUUUGGAUUACCGUGAUAUUGAAUGGUUUGCCUUGGAAAUGAACUGAGAUCAUUCUGUCAUUUUUGAGAUUGCAUCCAAGUACUGCAUUUUGGACUCUUUUGUUGACCAUGAUGGCUACUCCAUUUCUUCUGAGGGAAUCCUUCCUGCAGUAGUAGAUAUAAUGGUCAUGUGAGUUAAAUUCACCCAUUCCAGUCCAUUUUAUUUCUCUGAUUCCUAGAAUGUCGACAUUCACUCUUGCCAUCUCUUGUUUGACCACUUCCAAUUUGCCUUGAUUCAUGGACCUGACAUUCUAGGUUCCUAUGCAAUAUUGCUCUUUACAGCAUUGGACCUUGCUUCUAUCACCAGUCACAUCCACAGCUGGAUAUUGUUUUUGCUUUGGCUCCAUCCCUUAAUCAUUUCUGGAGUUAUUUCUCCACUGAUCUCCAGUAGCAUGUUGCGCACCUACUGAUCUGAGGAGUUCCUCUUUCAGUAUCCUAUCAUUUUGCCUUUUCAUACUGUUCAUGGGGUUCUCAAGGCAAGAAUACUGAAGUGGUUUACCAUUUUCUUCUCCAGUGGACCACAUUCUGUCACACCUCUCCACCAUAACCCGCCCAUCUCAGGUUGCCCCACGGGCAUGGCUUAGUUUCUUUGAGUUAGACACGGCUGUGGUCCUAGUGUGAUUGGAUUGACUAGAUUUCUGUGAGUAUGGUUUCAAUGUCUGCCCUCUGAUGCCCUCUUGCAACACCUACCAUCUUACUUGGGUUUUUCUUACCUUGGGCAUGGGGUAUCUCUUCACAGCUGCUCCAGCAAAGCUUAGCCGCUGCUCCUUACCUUGGAUGAAGGGUAUCUCCUCACUGCUGCCCUUCCUGACCUUCAGCGUGGGAUAGCUCCUCUAGGCCCUCCUGCACCCGCACAGCCACAGCUCCUUGGACGUGGGGUUGCUCCUCCUGGCCGCCCUGGCACUAUGUGUGGGCGGCUGCGACUGGUGCACUAAGUGCGGCCGAGAGGAGCUACCCCACGUCUGAGGUCAGGGGCAGCGGCCAAGAGUGCCAGGUUGCGAUGGCGCAGGAACAGCCGAGAGGACCUACCCCACAUCCAAAGUCAGGGGCGGCGGCCAGGAGAAGCUACCUCGCAUCCUAGGUCAGGGGCAGCCGGGAGAAGCCACCUUGCACCUGAGAUAUACCCUCCCUUCACCGAGGAGCUACCCCAUGUCCUAGGUCAGGAGCAGCCAGGAGGAGCCACCCUGUGCCAGAGAUAUGCCUACCCUUCACCUUUUAAUUCAAGGAAUUUCAAGGUCAUAUUGUAGAGAGUAAAUACAGGAAUGGAAAAAAGGUGUUAUCAUUUUUGCCAUCUAACAUAGUGAAUUUUAAGGUAAAUAACAAGUAAAAAAAGGAACAUAUUUUUAGAAAAUAAAAUAGAAUAUAAAAUGGUCAGGGCCAUAUAUAUGUGUCAUUAAUUAAACCACAAGUAUAAAUAGAAAUAAGAUGCCCUUAUUGUCAUCUUCAAUGUCCUUUUUUCAGGAGUAUUUGUGACUGACCUGUAGUUAGAUUGAAUUAUAAUAGCUAUUUCUGGAAUUUUGAGAUCUCAUAGAAAAUAUGUUUUACAGCUAUGUUUUCAUAGUAUUUCUAAGUAGACAUCCAAUAUUACCUACUAUCUUCCCAUAACUCAUGAAAUAUCUGAAAUAUAGUGCAUGCCAAUGAAUAGUUAUUGAAUAAAUUAGGUGAUUUUUGUUUAUACCAGGCAAUAUACAUGAAAACCAAAAUAGUAAUAUUCAGAUGAAAACCUACUUUACUCUAAUUUCUAACUAUAGAUAUUUACCAUUUUCCUUGCCAGUCCUGCUUGGCAAAUAGAUUUUGGUUGAAUAUUGCCCACUCUCACAUUUUUCUUAUUAGUAGAAAUCUUAAGGGCCUUGAUGAAAUUUCUCCUAUUAUCUCAAUCAUCUCACAGGGAAACCUUAGAAAUAAUGCUACAUUCAAUCAAAAGAAAUGCUAUUUUUCAUCUUCAAUCUUGCUUUUGAACUAAACUCAUGAGACUCAAAAAAAGUGUUAUCUAUAGUUCUAAGUAAAACUAAUUGAGACAUGACCAAAUAUACAGAUAGGAAAAGAGAAUACUUUUGGGAAAUUUUGAUAAUUGUGGAAUAGGAUCAACGAGCAUGCUAUAUAUAUCAUUACCUAUUUUGAGAAGGAAAAAAAUAACUAGAAUCACAUUGAACAAUAUUGUUUUGAACAUUCUUAUGAGGGUAGAUUUCACUUUUGAAAAUAAGUAAAAAGGGCACUGCUGUCAAGAUGAAUGAAAUGUAGAAAGUAUCUGCCAUAUAGACUGGUGUAGGAUCAUAAAAUAUUGAAUUGUAAAAUUUAAAAACAGAUUUAUGAGAGAAAGCCUUCCAUGUAAUUUUACAGCCCCAAAUCCCUUAAAAAUGUGCUGAGUUCUUAAAGUUUGCAGAUUUUAGGAUGUAUAGCAGAUGGGAAUAAAAAUUAAUACCAAGAUUUCACUUUAUUGCUUGCUGAAUAUUGUUCGUUGUCCAAAAAUGCCUUGACACAGGUGACUGAUUUUUACUACAAAUCAUUCCUUCAAUACUGGCCACAGGUUACAUUGAAAUGAUUUAAAUUUUAUAAUUACAAAAACAUAAAUGAGAAAAAAUAUAUUUAACACUUAUGAUUGUGUAUUUAAGCAUUAUAUAAAUAAUACAUGAAUGAACUUAGUAAAAUAAAAAUGUAAUGUUUUGAGACUAAGCAAUAAAUCUCUAUUCCUCAUCUUGGGCCAAUACACAGAGAUUAGCACUGCUAAAGAUUGUGUUUGAUCCAAUUAGAUUUUUUCUUUGUUUGAUCCAAUUAGAAUUAGAAUUUUUUUAAAAAUUUAUCUGUAUUUGCUAUAUCAUACAUAUGUGAUGCAUUCAUAAGUUAAAAUGUGUAUAUUAGUAUCAUGUAUUAUAUAAUUUAUGGAUGCAAGUUUGCUAAUUCACAAAUAUAGGUUCAUGUGUGUAUAUUUAUUUGCUGACAUAUUAAAAAAAUUAUAUAUAGAGAGGUACAAGACACAGAUAAUGCAGAAAUCAUAACUGGUCAGCUCAGUGACUGUGUAAGCACCACCAAACUCAAGAUAUAAAACAUAAUUUUUGUUGCUGCUCAUUAGCCCAUGAGAAUUUCUUAUCUGUGUUCCCUUCUUUGUACACUUACUUAGAAAUCAAGACUUCUAAAAUGAUAGGUUAGAUUUGCAUGUAUUUUUAAUUAAACUGAAAAAAACUGUCUAGGUUACUUACAUUCAUAGACCAUUAUGAAGUGAGAUUCUUUCAUUUUUAUAUAUGUAAUUCAUUCAUUUUCAUUCAUACUAAAUAUAUUACAUAAUUUAUUCAUUUUAAAUUGAUGAACUUUGGGUUGUGAGAGCAAUGCAAUGAAUAUUUUUGUGUAUUUUUUCUCAAUACACACAGGCUUACAUUUUGAAGAUUAAUAUUUAGAAGUAGAAUUGCUGAGUCAUAGUGUAAGAUUACAUUGAAAUUUUUAAGACUGCCAGCACAUUUUUCAAAGUUCCUGCACCAUUUUACAUUCCUAAGCAGCAGUGUAUGAAGGUUCAAAUUUUUCUAUGUCCUCAUCAACAUGUUAUAUUCUUUAUUUUUUAUUAUAGUCAUUCUAGUAAGGAUGUGGCAUCUCAUAGACAUAGACAUAGAAAUAGAGGAAUAGAUAUAUACAUACUGUAAUUGUCAUUGUUGUUGUUUAGUUACUAAGUCAUGUCCAACUCUAUGACUCCAUGGAUUGAAGCAUGCCAGGCUCCUGUUUCCUCCACUAUCUCGCAGAGUUGGCCCUAAUUCAUGUUCACUGAGUUGCUGAUGCUGUCUAACCAUCUCAUCCUCUGCCACUCUUCCCGCCUUUGCCUUCAAUCUUUCCCAGCAUCAGGGUCUUUUCCAAUGAGUUGGCUCUUCACAGCAGGUGGCCAAAGUACUGGCAGUUCAGCUUCAGCCACAGCCCUUCCAGAGAAUAUUCAGGGUUGAUUUCCUUUAGGAUUAACUGAUAUGAUCUCCUUACAGUCAAUGGGACUCUCUAGGAGAGUCUUAUUCAGCACCACAGUUCAAAAGCAUCAAUUCUUCAAAACUCAGCCUUACUUAUGGACCAACUCUCACAUCCAUACAUGACUACUGGAAAGAAAACAUAGCUUUGAUUAUAUCUACUUUUGUCAGCAAAGCGAUAUAUUUGCUUUUUAAUACACUGUCUAGGUUUGUUAUAGUUUUCCUUCCAGGGGGCAAACAUCUUUUAAUUUCAUGGCUGCAGUCACCAUCCGCAGUGAUUUUAGAGCCCAUGAAAAGAAAAUCUGUCGCUGCUUUCAUUUUUUCCCCCUUUUCUUUGCCAUUAAGUGAUAGAACCAAAUGCCGUGAUUUGGUUGUAUGAAUGUUGAGUUUCAAGCAAGCUUUUUCACUCUCCUCUUUCAUUAAGAGGCUCUUUAGUCCGUCUUCUUUUUCUGUCAUUAGAGUAGUAUCAUCUGCAUAUCUAAGGUUGUUGAUAUUUCUCCCUGCAAUCUUGAUUUCAGCUUGUGAUUCAUCCAGCUCAGCAUUUCACACGAUGUGCUUGCAUGUAAGUUAAAUUAGCAAGAUUACAGUAUACAGCCUUGUCAUACUCCUUUGCCAGUUUUGAACCACUCAGUUGUCCUAUGUCCAGGUCUAAAUGUUGCUUCUUGACCUGCAUAAAGGUUUCUCAGGAGACAGGUAACUUGGUCUGGUAUUCCCAUCUCUUUAAGAAUUUCCCACAAUUUGUUGUGAUCCACACAGUCAAAGGCUUUAUUGUAGUCAAUGAAGCAGAAGUAUAUGUUUUUCUGGAACUCCCUUGCUUUCUACACAAUCCAGUGAGUGUUGCAAAUUUGAUUUCUGGUUCUUUGCUUCUUUGAAACUCAGCUUGUACAUCUGGACAUUCUCAGAUCAUAUACUGCUGAAGCCUAACUUGAAGGAUUUUGAGCAUAACCUUACUUGCAUGCAAAAGGAAUGGAAUUGUAGUAGUUUGAACAUUCUUUGUCGUUGCCCUUCUUUGGGAUUGGAGUGGAAACUGAGCUACACAUACAUUUAAAAACAUUUAAAAUGUGUAGUGUUACUAGACCAAUAAUGAUGUGAUGACUUAUGUCAUCUAAGAUGGAAAGGGAAAGAAACAAAACAACACAAAAGCAAAAACAUGAGGUUGACUGUCAAAAGGGUUUGAAUAAUGUCUCUAAUGUCAGAUUUGCAGUAACUUGUAUAACUAGGUAUCCUGACACAUUUUUAGGUGUCCUAUAGCAACAAUAUUAAUUUCCAUUUAAUUAUUAAAAUCCUAAUUUUUGAGUGGGAUGUUAGAGGUUGCAACCUUUAGUUUACCAAUACUCAGAAUUACUAUUUUAUCAUGUUAUUUUCUAACCAUAACCCUUUUCCCUAUUACUGAGUAGCUAUUCUCCUAACCGCUUCAUAGCUGUCUAGCUCUCUACCUUUAGAAUUUUUUUUCUAUGCAGGUUUAUCAGUGGGCAAAACUGAUGAGGCAAAAUACAUUCAUGUACAUUUGGUCAUAAGUAUACCAGCGAGAGGAAUGUCAUGAGAAACUAACAUCUGAGAAUUUUUAAAUUAUAGGUUAAACAGCUUUCUUCUUAUCCAUACCUCAAAUUCUUGUCUAUGUAAUCUCCCAUCACUUUUUUCAUAGCACUUAAUUCUCAUUUUUGUAUAAUUAUUCUUUUUUUCAGUCACAAUAAUAGUGGAACUAUAUAUUUUUUCAUCAUUCUCAUUAUAUUUUUGUAUUUUAAAAAAUAAUUUUUAUUUUAAUUUUGUUUUUAUUGGUGUAUACUUGCUUUGCAGUAUUGUGUUAGUUUCUGCUGUAUAGCAAAGUGAAUCAGUUAUAUGUAUAUUCUUGUAUUCUUAAGUGUUAACAGCUUGUAAACAAGAUAUGUUCUUCCUGAUCCAAACAACUUUUCACCUAUUAUUUUAUUACAGUUUUCUUUAAAACAAGCAAAAUAUCUCAAAGGCCAUACCUAGAACCACUGGCAAUUUUUCUUAUAUAUACAAACUUAAACUGAUGAUUUGUCUUUAUUCAAUUUUAUUUUAUUUUAUUAUUUCCUUUUUGUGAGGGAUAUAUGUUUCCUUUUGCUUUUCCUAGACAUUUUCUGCUGAUUUGCUAAUUACCUGCCUUUCUGACUUUAUCACAGCAAUUCUGUCCCCAGCUAAUCAUGGUUGCCUGUACAAUUUUGUAAUACUUUUCUGUUCUGUUUCUUCAGUCAGCCAGAGGAAAGCAAUCAAAAUCAAUGCUAUCAUUCUUUGUUCUCAUAUGAAUCUAGCAAAGAUCAGUGCUUCACCUUAGAAUUCUUGAAAUUUAGUGUUGUAAGUAGCUUGAAAUAACUGCCCAUUUAUUUUAGUACUACUAUUAAGUUUGACAUGUUUCUAUAUAAGCUUUAUUCAAUCAAAACUACUCUAGUGUUUACCUCUAUAGGUAGUUAUACUAUUAGUGGUUUUAACUUGAGAAUAAAUAGUGAGUAGUGAUUAUUCAAACCUGUCCUAAUGGAAUAUUAAAUACUUUCCUGAAAAGUGAGUAAAACUAUAUUUUUGAAUAAUUAAAAUGAGACAAAAUGGAGCAGAGCUAAAAAAAUAGGGUGACCACAAACUAUAUUUAUUUGAAAAAAUAGUUAUAACUAUAAUGUGUUGAAUAAAAUGUCAGGACAUAUAUCUGGCAGUCUGUCACUAGUUAAUCUACUUGUUAGCACAGGAAGCCAGUUAGUGGAGAAAAGUGAUCACAUAAUUUUAAAGUCUUGAUGUUGCUAAAUUUUCUUUUAGUGUUGGAAAAUUUUGAGUUACUGAUUCCAAUCAAAACUAAAAUUAAAGAAUUAGAAAACAUUAACAACUAUGGGAUACCUAUUAUGCAAUAUUUUUAGUUGAUUUUCCCCAGAUGUGAUGAGAAAUUUUAAAUGAACAUAUAAUGUACAGACAUAUAUUAUGAGCACUAUUACACUGAAUUUUUUUAAAUCAUUCUGUGUAUCUUAGUCAGUUUAAUCUGCUAUUAAAAAACAACAACAACAACAACAACAACACCAAAAGACCCACCAUUCACCUGGUGGCUUACACAGCUUUUAUUCCUCAUACCUCUGAACACUGAAAAGUUCAGCAUCAAGAUACUGGCAGAUCUAGUGUUUGUUGAGCUUGUUGAGAUACUGCUUCCUGGUUAUCAGCUGGCCUUCUUUUGUAUUCUCACAUGGUAAGGGAAAAGCAAAAGAGCUCUCUGGAGUCUCUUUUAUAAUGGCACUAAUCUCAUUCAUGAGGUACCCACCUUCAUGACUGAAUUACCUUUGAAAGAUCCUACCUCCCAAUACUAUCACUUGGAAGUUAUUUCAACAUAUGAAUUUUGGGGGGGGGGACACAUUCCUAGACAGUAACUGAUCUAAGAAGAAGUAAUUAUUAAGGUUCAAGAACUUAAAUCAUUCUUUUAAAUUUUUAUUUCUUCAAAUCAAAUAAAUAUACCAUUGCUAUGAUUCUGGCUGCCUCCAUUUGCAUUUUCCUAUCUUUGAUAGAUGAACUUUCUAUUUCUUCUUUAUUGUUUCACCUGAAUUGUCUUCAUAAUCCAUACAAAAGAUUUGCUUUUUUGUCCACCAACAAUGGCUCCAAAGCAGCAAUAUAAAAUGCUUCUAUAAACUGCUUUUAUUGACAGCUAUUUGCGAAUUUAUCCACUUUAGAUGAUCCUUUGGGAGUCUUGUGAUGAAAUAAAAUUAGUAUUAAACUGAGGAAUGAAUAGAUUGAUGUAAAAUGUAAAUUGAUACAUAGAAACAAUCUAAUUGUUUUGACAUUUCUCUUUCAUUAUCAGAUGAAUUUUUACAAGAAACCAAAAUAUCAUUUUAUACUAGAUAAAUCAAAAUAAUUUUGGUGAAUGACACUGUGCAAUAGAAAGCAGAGUAGAUCAAAAGGUGAAGAGACUGGAAUUGUAUCUAGAUAAACAGGGCCAAAGUGAUUCUUAGGAUAUUCAAAUAGCUUUUUCUUUAUAAUACUAAUGUAUGUGGAAUAAUCUUCUCCAUGGUUUUAUGUCAUCUUGCACUGUGAUGGGAAGUUUAGGGCUCUCAAGGAAUUUACCAUGAAUAACUGGGAAAAGAAAAUCAAUAACUGAAUCCCACAUGAAAGUGAAAGUGUUAGUGGCUCAGUUGUAUCCAGCUCUUUACGACCCCAUGGACUGUGGCCCACCAGGCUCCUCCAUCCGUGGAAUUCUCCAGGCAAGAAUACCGGAGUGAAUUGCCAUUUCCUUCUCCAGGGGAUCUUCCCAAUCUAGGGAUCAAACCCAGGUCUCCUGAUUGCACACAGUUUCUUUACCAUCUGAAUCACUGGAGAAGUCCUGAAUCCCACAUAAUGAAUGUUAUAAUAGAGGUAUGACUACAGCACAGAAAUAAAGUAGGACAUGGCUUUAGGCCUUAGAGAAAAACACAUUUUCAUAAUAUACAAUAUGCUCAAGGAGAACAUACUUUAAUAUAGUCUUAAUAUUUAUUCAUUAUAAAACAUUGUUAAUGGUUACAUAUAGUUUCUGUAAUAAGAUUUCUUAGGAACUAAUCAUGGUUCCUUUAAUUGUUAAUUGAUGCAAUAAAUCUAAACUCUUUGUCAAUUUCCUAGUCUUUGAAAUGGGGACAGUAUUUUUUACAUAAUUCAGAAUUGUGUGACAAUUGACUUUACUAACAUAUUAUUGGGGGAGUGUGUAAUUUCUUUGGUUCUGUCUUGUUGCAGCAAAGAAACUGGACCAGUGUUACAGCUCAGUUACAGUUCAGUUUUAUUUGGAAAGCACAGGAUAGUAUACCCUCCAGGCAGGAGGGUUGGCUGACCCAAAGGGGAGAGGCUCAACCUUGGCUCCUCUCUUUACAUGUUUUAUCUCCUCCCCCUGAGCCUGGCCUGUAUAAAUUGGGCUAGCCAGGAAGGCUGUCUGUUUCACCUGAUGUUCUCAAACCAGUCCAUGGAUUUUCUUUCAUUCCAUUUUUGCGGGCUUUUCCCUUUGUCUUUUAGUCACUACCAUUUUGGACUCCUUUUUCUAUUCUAACUACUUAACAUUCCUCCCUCAAGAGAUGGGAGGCCAGUUCUUUGGGAAUAGGGGCAUUGAGGUCUCUCUGGCUACUUCCUGCUGAGCUGGGAUGGUGAGAGCCAUUGGACCUCCUCCUCUUGCUAGUCUCAAACCUCAGAGUCCUUAAGGAUGAAGGGUCCGUGAUAAGGGUGAGUGAUAUUUUCCAUGGUCAGGUGUAAUUUUAUAUAUCCUUGUUGAACUGGCACUGCAUGUUGUAGCUUGUUGACCUGGGCAAAAAGAAAAUGGGUUAGACAAUUGACAAUACAAGGAGCAAUCAUAAGCAGCCUCAAUAUGGUGCUAACAGGGAUUAGUAGGGGCAUUCAGUUCAGUUCAGUUCAGUCGCUCAGUUGUGUCUGACUCUUUGCGACCCCAUGAAUUGCAGCACGCCAGGCCUCCCUGUCAAUCACCAACUCCUGGAGUUCACUCAAAAUCACAUCCAUCAAGUCGGUGAUGCCAUCCAGCCAUCUCAUCCUCUGUCAUCCCCUUCUCCUCUUGUCCCCAAUCCCUCCAGGAUCAGUCUUUUCCAAUGAGUCAGCUCUUCACAUGAGGUGGGCAAAGUACUGGAGUUUCAGCCUCAGCAUCAGUCCUUCCAAUGAACACCCAGGACUGGUCUCCUUUAGAAUGGACUGGUUGGAUUUCCAUGCAGCCCAAGGGACUCUCAAGUGUCUUCUCCAACACCACAUUUCAAAAGCAUCAAUUCUUCAGUGCUCAGCCUUUUUCACAGUCCAACUCUCACAUCCAUACAUGACCACUGGAAAACCAUAGCCUUGACUAUACAGACCUUUGUUGGCAAAGUAAUGUCUCUGCUUUUUAAUAUGCUGUCUAGGUUGGUCAUAGUUUUUCUUCCAAGAAGUAAGCGUCUUUUAAUUUCAUGGCUGCAAUCACCAUCUGCAGUGAUUUUGGAGCCCCCCAAAAUAAAGUCUGACACUGUUUCCACUGUUUCCCCAUCUAUUUGCCAUGAAGUGAUGGGAUCAGAUGCCAUGAUCUUCGUUUUCUGAAUGUUGAAGCAGAGACGUUACUUUGCCAGCAAAAGUCCAUCUUUGGCCAUCCAAUACUUUGUCCAUCUCAUGCGAAAAGUUGAUACAUUUGGAAAGACUCUGAUACUGGGAGGGUUUGGAGACAGAAGGAGAAGUGGACGACAGAGGAUGAUAUGGCUGGAUGGCAUCACCAGCUCAAUGCACGUGAAUUUGGGUGAACUCUGGGAGUUAGUGAUUGACAGGGAGGUCUGGCAUGCUGCAAUAUAUAAGGUCGCAAAGAGUCAGACGCAACUGACUGAACUGAACUGAACUGACUGAAAAGUAAAGUCAUGUGAAGUAAUUUUAAUUUAUGGUUGUGUUCUUCCAUCCUUUUGUUUUUAAUUAUCUGUAUCUUUUUAUUUAAAAUACACUGACUUAUUUCACUUAGCAUAAUGUCCUCAAGAUUCAUACCUAUCCUUGCAAAUGGCAACAUUUAAUCUUUAUCCAUGGUUAAGUAGUAAGGUCUUACUUUUUUAUUCAACCUGACACUCUUCCAUUUAACUGAGACAUUUUAUCUAUUUAAUUUAACAUUUUUAUUCAUAUAGGUAUCAGAUGGCUCAAUGCUAAAGAGUCUACCUGCCAAUGUAGGAGACAUAGGAGAUGCAGGUUUAAUCCCUGGGUUGGGAAAAUGCCCCUGGAGGAAUGGCAACCCUCUCCAGGAUUCUUGCCUGAAUAAUCCCAUGGAUAGAGGGGCCUGGUGAGCUACAGUCCAUGGGGUUGCAAAGAGUCGAGCAUGACUGAGCAAACACAGAAGGAAAUAUUUAUAUUUACCACAUUUCUGUUAGUUUUACUUUUCUGUCAUCUGUUUCUGCUUCUCCUUUCUCUACUUUUAAUGCUUUUUUUGAUUAAACAAGGAUGUUUUAAUAAUUCUCUUCGCUUUCAAUGUUGACUUAAUAGAUACAAUUUUUGUUGUAUUGUUUCGGUCAUUACUUUAAGAUUGAUAAAAUGCUUAUCUCAGCCCGGGACAUAUAAAGUACAAUUUACCACUUCAGAUGUAGUACUUGAAUAGUAUCUUUCAAUAUCUACUUUGCCACUCUUUGUACUAUUGUUGUGUAAUUUAUUUCUCGCUAUAUUGUGAACUAUACAACACAUGUAAUAUUUUUUGUUUGCUUUGAAACUUUAAAAGAUAAUUUUAGAGGGAUUUCCCAGGUAGUCCAGUGGUUAAGACUCUCUACCUCCACUGCAACAGUGCAGAUUCAAGCCCUGGUCAAGGAACUAAGAUUAUCAUAUGCUGCACACCGCCCUCCCACCAAAAAGAAGAUAAUUUUAGAAUUUUUUUUUAAAAUAGAUUUCCUCUGCUGACUCACAUAUUUACUACUGGUGGUGUUCUUCAUUUCUUUGUAUAAAUUCAGAUAUCUAUGUCGUGUCAUUUUUCUCCCCUGGUCUGCUUGUGGUAAAUUCUUUCAGUUUUUGAAUAUCUGGGAAAUGCUUUAUUUUAUAUUUUUGUAGGGGACAGGAGGAUUUUUAUGACAGUUUUAUUAAGGUAUAAUUCACAUAUAAUAAAAUUUACCCUUUUAAAGUAUACAGUUCCUCAGGUUUUAGGAUAUUGAAUUGUGAAGCAUCAUAGCUGAUUUUAGAGUAUUUUCAUUACUGUGAAAAGAAACUCCAUACUCAAGCCUUCAGACCUGAUACUCUUCUUAGCCCAGUUCGUGACAACCAUUAAUUUCUGUAGACUUACUUAUUAAGGACACAAUGCAUAAAUUGUAUCAUAUGUGAUCUUUUUCAGUUAUUGUCUUUUUUGGUAGUUGUAACAUUUUUGUUCAUUUAUGUUCAGUUCAGUUCAGUUCAGUCGCUCAGUCGUGUCCGACUCUUUGCGACCCCAUGAAUCGCAGCACACCAGGCCUCCCUGUCCAUGACCAACUCCCAGAGUUCACUCAGACUCACGUCCAUCGAGUCAGUGAUGCCAUCCAGCCAUCUCAUCCUCUGUUGUCCCCUUCUCCUCCUGCCCCCAAUCCCUCCCAGCAUCAGAGUCUUUAUGUUACAGUAUUUAUCAAUAUGCUACUCCAUUUAGUUGCAAAUAAUCUAUUGUAUGGACAUAUUCCAUUUUGUCUCUCCAUUUGACUAUUGAUGAAUAUUUAGGUUGUAUCCUAUUUGGUGAUACUAUGAAUAAUACUGGUGGCUCAGAUCAUAAAGCAUCUGCCUGCAAUGCAGGAGACCCGAGUUUUAUCCCUGGGUCAGGAUGAUCUCCUGGAGAAGGGAAUGGCUACCCAUUCCAGUAUUCUUGCUUGGAAGAUUCUAUGGACAGAGGAGCCUCAGGAAUAUUGUGCAUUGGGCUGCAAAGAGUUGGGCACGACUGAGCAACUGACACUUUCACUUUUUAUUUUAAUAAUUCAUGCACAAGUUUUUCUGUGAACAUAUAGAUCCACUCUGUUUUUGUUUACCCAAGAAUGCCUAAUUUCUCCUUCCUAUUAGUAUGAUAGUUUGGCUGGGUUAAAAUCUCAGUUGAAAAUCUUUCUUCUUCAAUACGUUGACUGUCUCAUCCUUCUGCCUCUAUGGCUUCUAAUAACAGGGGGUGGUUUAGUCGCUAAGUUGUGUCUGACUCUUGCAAUCCCAUGGACUGUAGUCUGCCAGGCUCCUGUGUCCAUGGGAUUCUGUAGGCAAGAAUACUGGACUGGGUUGCCAUUUCCUUCUCCAGGGGAUCUUCCCAACAGAGGAACUGAACUCUGGUCUCCUGCAUUGCACGUAGAUUCUUUACCAACUGAGCUACAAGGGAAGACCUCCAAUAAGAGACAAAUAGUUAAUCUCACUGAGGAUUUGUUGUAUGUGAUUGUUUUUCUGUUUCUAUUUUUAGACUAUUUUUGACUUCAGCUUUCUACAUUUAUCUAUGAUAUACCUAUCUGUGACUUUCUUGGAGUUUCUUUGCUUCCUGGGUGGUAAGAUAAUGUUCACCAUUGAAUUUAGAAAGUGGUUUAGCCAUUAUAUCUCUUCCAUGGACUGAAUGUUGUUGCCCCUAAAAUUCAUGUGUUGAAACCUAAUCCACAAUGUGAUGGUAUUUUGAAAUGAAGUCUUUGGCCAGUGAUUAAAUAUAAAGUCAGAGCCCUCAUGAGUAGGGUUAGUGCCCUUGUAAAAGAUCCUAGAUAGCACACUUGUCCCUUCUACCAUCUGAAGAUACAGUGAGAAGAUGACUGUCUACAAACUAAGGAAGAUUCUCACCAAACAAUCUUCUAGUACUUUGUUAUUGAAAAUUUCAGCCUCCAGAACUAUGAGAAAAUAAAUUUCUAUUGUAUAUAAGCUACUGAUUCUGUGGUAUUUGGUAAGAAUAGCCCAGAGUAAGACAAUCUUCACAUAUUUUUAUUUCUCCUUUCUCUCCUCUCCUUCAUGGACUCCCAUUAUGUCUAUAUUGAUAAAUAUAUAAUGUCCUACAGGUUUCAUGUAGCC
ensembl:lncRNA